rnacentral:rRNA from 1 species
UACGGGGGGGGCAAGCGUUGUUCGGAAUUACUGGGCGUAAAGGGCUCGUAGGCGGCCAACUAAGUCGGAUGUGAAAUCCCCAGGCUUAACCUGGGAACUGCAUCCGAUACUGGAUGGCUUGAAUCCGGGAGAGGGAUGCAGAAUUCCAGGUGUAGCGGUGAAAUGCGUAGAUAUCUGGAGGAAUACCGGUGGCGAAGGCGGCAUCCUGGACCGGCAUUGACGCUGAGGAGCGAAAGUUAGGGGAGCAAACGGG